rnacentral:rRNA from 1 species
GAUGAACGCUGGCGGCGUGCCUAAUACAUGCAAGUCGAGCGAACGGACGAGAAGCUUGCUUCUCUGAUGUUAGCGGCGGACGGGUGAGUAACACGUGGAUAACCUACCUAUAAGACUGGGAUAACUUCGGGAAACCGGAGCUAAUACCGGAUAAUAUUUUGAACCGCAUGGUUCAACAGUGAAAGACGGUCUUGCUGUCACUUAUAGAUGGAUCCGCGCUGCAUUAGCUAGUUGGUAAGGUAACGGCUUACCAAGGCAACGAUGCAUAGCCGACCUGAGAGGAUGAUCGGCCACACUGGAACUGAGACACGGUCCAGACUCCUACGGGAGGCAGCAGUAGGGAAUCUUCCGCAAUGGGCGAAAGCCUGACGGAGCAACGCCGCGUGAGUGAUGAAGGUCUUCGGAUCGUAAAACUCUGUUAUUAGGGAAGAACAUAUGUGUAAGUAACUGUGCACAUCUUGACGGUACCUAAUCAGAAAGCCACGGCUAACUACGUG